rnacentral:rRNA from 1 species
GGAAGUGAACCAUCUCAGUACCCAGAGGAAGAGAAAACAACCGUGAUUCCGGUAGUAGUGGCGAGCGAACCCGGAACAGCCUAAACCAGGCGAUUCGAAAGGAGAGCCUGGUGUUGCAGGGCCGCAAUAUCAGGUAGGGGCAAGUUAGAAGCUUGCUUCGACCUGGUAAACGAGGGAUAGGGGAGUGUUAAUCGAACGGUCUGGAAAGGCCGGCCAUAGAGGGUGACAGCCCCGUAGGUGAAAAUGCAAUCCUCCUUCAAGCGGUUCCUAAGUACCGCGGGACACGUGGAACCCUGCGGGAAUCUACCGGGACCAUCCGGUAAGGCUAAAUACUCACUUGCGACCGAUAGUGAACCAGUACCGUGAGGGAAAGGUGAAAAGUACCCCUGCGAGGGGAGUGAAAUAGUACCUGAAACCACACGCCUACAAGCAGUUGGAGGGCUAUACCCGCAAGGGGAUGCCUGACAUCGUGCCUAUUGCAUAAUGAGCUGGCUAGUUAUUCUCAGUGGCAAGGUUAAGCGAAAGCGAGCCGUAGCGAAAGCGAGUCUGAAUGGGGCGUUCAGUCGCUGGGAAUAGACGCGAAGCGGGAUGAUCUACCCUUGGCCAGGAUGAAGGUCGUGUAACAGCGACUGGAGGUCCGAACCAGUGUUGGUUGAAAACAGCUUGGAUGAGCUGAGGGUAGGGGUGAAAGGCUAAUCAAAUUCCGUGAUAGCUCGUUCUCUCCGAAAUAGCUUUAGGGCUAGCCUCGCGUGGUCCGUCGCGGUGGUAGAGAUCUGAAUGAACUAGGGGCCUUCCCAGGUUACCGAAUUCAACCAAACUUCGAAUGCCGCUAACGUGUAACGCGGGAGUCAGACAGUGGGGGCUAAGCUUCAUUGUCGAAAGGAAAACAGUCCAGACCACCAACUAAGGUCCCCAAAUCUACGCUCAGUGGGAAAGGAAGUCGGGCGCCUCAGACAGCCAGGAGGUUGGCUCAGAAGCAGCCAUCCUUUAAAGAAAGCGUAAUAGCUCACUGGUCGAGGAACCCGGUGCCGACAAUAUAACGGGGCUCAAGCGUAGUACCGAAGUUGUGGAUUCGGCAGCAAUGUCGAAUGGUAGGAGAGCGUUCCCACAGCAGUGAAGGUGAACCGAAAGGAUCACUGGAGUGGUGGGAAGUGACUCUGCCAGCAUAAGUAGCGAAAAACCAGGUGAGAACCCUGGUCGCCGUAAGUCUGAGGAUUCCUGAGAAAGGUUAAUCCGCUCAGGGUUAGUCGGAGCCUAACGCGAGGCCGAAAGGCGUAGCGGAUGGACACACGGUUAACAUUCCGUGACUACCUUGGUUUUCGAUGCGGGGACGCGGGACGUAAGUUCCUCUGCGCAAUGGUUUCAAAGAGGAAUGAAGUCAGGUUGGGAGAGGCAAAUCCGCCCAGCCGUCCGCCAGGAAAAGCCGCUAAGGUUAGGAUCAAGGUAUCCGUACCACAAACCGACACAGGUGGACGAGAUGAAUAUUCUAAGGCGCUCGGGUGAUGGUAUGUUCAGGAACUAGGCACAUUAGCUCCGUAACUUCGGGAGAAGGAGUGCCCACCUAAGACGUGGGCCGCAGUGAAUAGUCUCAGGCGACUGUUUAACAAAAACACAGGUCUCUGCAAAGUCGAAAACGACGUAUAGGGGCUGACGCCUGCCCGGUGCCGGAAGGUUAAAGGGAGAGGUUAGUGGUGUUAGCAAUAACGCUGCGAAGCUUUGAACUGAAGCCCCGGUGAACGGCGGCCGUAACUAUAACGGUCCUAAGGUAGCGAAAUUCCUUGUC